GGGCGUUUGGUCUAGUGGUAUGAUUCUCGUCUUAAGGUGCGAGAGGUCGCGAGUUCGAUUCUUGCAAUGCCCU